UACGUAGGUGGCAAACGUUGUCCGGAUUUAUUGGGCGUAAAGGGAGCGCAGGCGGUUUAUUAAGUCUGAUGUGAAAGCCUUCGGCUUAACCGGAGAAGUGCAUCGGAAACUGAUAAACUUGAGUGCAGAAAAGGAUAGUGGAACUUCAUGUGUAGCGGUGAAAUGCGUAGAUAUAUGAAGGAACACCAGUGGCGAAGGCGGCUAUCUGGUCUGUAACUGACGCUGAGGCUCGAAAGCAUGGGUAGCAAACAGG
rnacentral:rRNA from 1 species